CGUGCCGAUUCGGCCGCUCUCGCACGUCUCCGAGAGGAGAGGAUAGUCUGAGUGUCCACUCGUGUUUUCAGGUGGCGGUCGGGCCCUGUGCAAUCGGAGCCCGUGAAUCGGGUCAGGGCCGGAAGGCAGCAGCUCUCAGCGGAACCUGCGGUGUGCCGCAGAUCGCCUGGCCGCCUCCUGAAAACACGUGAACACCUGCGCAGAAGACCGGCACG
rnacentral:RNase_P_RNA from 1 species